UACGUAGGGCGCAAGCGUUGUCCGGAAUUAUUGGGCGUAAAGAGCUCGUAGGCGGUCUGUCGCGUCCGUUGUGAAAACUCGGGGCUCAACCCCGAGCCUGCGUUCGAUACUGCACGGCUAGAGUCUGGUAGGGGGAUCUGGAAUUCCUGGUGUAGCGGUGGAAUGCGCAGAUAUCAGGAGGAACACCGGUGGCGAAGGCGGGAUCCUGGGCCAGUACUGACGCUGAGGAGCGAAAGCGUGGGGAGCAAACAGG
rnacentral:rRNA from 1 species